UCCCUGCUGGUCCAGUGGUUAGGACUUGGCACCUUCACUGCUGCGGCCCAGGUUCAAUCCCUGGCUGGGGAA